CCCGUACUGGUGAUAAUUGCGAUGGGGGGACGGAGAAGGCUAGGCUAUCCGGGCGACGGUUGUCCCGGUUUAAGGAUGUAGGCAGGUGAAUUAGGCAAAUCCGGUUCACUACAUGCUGAGGUCCGAUGACGAGUCACUACGGUGAUGAAGUAGCUCAUGCCCCGCUUCCAGGAAAAGCCUCUAAGCUCUAGAUUAUCAUUAAUCGUACCCCAAACCGACACAGGUGGUCAGGUAGAGA
rnacentral:rRNA from 1 species